UGCAAGUCGAGCGGAACGAUUCUAGCUUGCUAGAAGGCGUCGAGCGGCGGACGGGUGAGUAAUGCAUGGGAAUCUGCCCGAUAGUGGGGGACAACCUGGGGAAACUCAGGCUAAUACCGCAUACGUCCUACGGGAGAAAGCAGGGGAUCUUCGGACCUUGCNCUAUCNGAUGANCCCNUGUCNGAUUANCUUGUUGGUGAGGUG
rnacentral:rRNA from 1 species